rnacentral:rRNA from 1 species
GACGAACGCUGGCGGCGUGCUUAACACAUGCAAGUCGAACGGACAGGCCCUGCUUUUGUUUGGUGCUCGAGUGGCGAACGGGUGCGUAACACGUGAGUAACCUUCCCUUGACUUUGGGAUAACUUCAGGAAACUGGGGCUAAUACCGGCUAAGAGCUCCUGCUGCAUGUUGGUGGUUGGAAAGUUUCGGCGGUUGGGGAUGGAGUCGCGGCUUAUCAGCUUUGAGGUGGGGUAGUGGCUUACCAAGGUUUUGACGGGUAGCCGGCCUGAGAGGGUGACCGGCCACAGAGUGACAGAGGUGCGGGCCGGACGGAUACUGCGGGAAGCAGUGAGAGUCAGACCGCGAUGGGCGGAAGCCGUAUGCAGCAACGCCGCGUGCUAGAUCACUGCCUUCGGGGUGUAACCCGUGUUCGCGUGGGACGAAGCGUGAGUGACGGUAAUGGGUAAAGAAGCACCGGCUAACUACGUG